AAGACACUCCCUCCAUGCACAAAUUGAUCCUGCAUCGGGGUGUGUAAAACAUAAGCGGGGUUUACCGUCAGCCCCAAAGCGAAGGGUUUCAUAGAGGGGGCUAAGCUAUAAACAAAAGAAUGAAUGGGAGCAGGCUUUACAAUAUGUUUUGAGGGCAGUAAGCAGUUCUAUGCUGUUAAUGAGAGGAGGAUAUAAUUUAUCUAGCCAUGACACAC